rnacentral:rRNA from 1 species
AACUUAAAGGAAUUGACGGGGACCCGCACAAGCAGCGGAGCGUGUGGUUUAAUUCGUUGCUACACGAAGAACCUUACCUGGGUUUGACAUAUAGGUUGUAGGGAACUGAAAAGGGACCGACCCUUCGGGGAGCCUAUACAGGUGUUGCAUGGCUGUCGUCAGCUCGUGUCGUGGGAUGUUCGGUUAAGUCCGCUAACGAGCGCAACCCUCGUCGUAUGUUAUAUGUGUCAUACGAGACUGCCGGUAAAAAGCCGGAGGAAGGUGAGGAUGAUGUCAAGUCAGCAUGACCUUUAUAUCCAGGGCUACACACACGCUACAAUGGUCUGUACAAUGGGUAGCCAAGCCGCGAGGCGGAGCCAAUCCUGAAAGCAGGCCUCAGUUCAGAUUGCAGUCUGCAACUCGACUGCAUGAAGCCGGAGUUGCUAGUAACCGCAGGUCAGCAAUACUGCGGUGAAUACGUUCCCGGGUCUU